rnacentral:rRNA from 1 species
AGAGUUUGAUCCUGGCUCAGGACGAACGCUGGAGGCGUGCUUAACACAUGCAAGUCGGACGAGGAUAUAUUGAAAGCUUGCUUUCGAUAUAAGCCGAGUGGCGGACGGGUGAGUAACACGUAAGUAACCUGCCCUUUAGUGGGGGAUAACGCUCCGAAAGGAGCGCUAAUACCGCAUGAGAUCUCUUUUUCGCAUGAUUAAGAGAUGAAAGAUUUAUUGCUAAAGGAUGGGCUUGCGUAUGAUUAGCUAGUUGGUAAGGUAAUGGCUUACCAAGGCUACGAUCAUUAGCUGGUCUGAGAGGAUGAACAGCCACACUGGGACUGAGAUACGGCCCAGACUCCUACGGGAGGCAGCAGUGGGGAAUUUUGCACAAUGGGGGAAACCCUGAUGCAGCGACGCCUCGUGAGUGAUGAAGUUUUUAGGAAUGUAAAGCUCUGUCAGUAGGGACGAUUAUGACGGUACCUACAGAGGAAGCUCCGGCUAAUUACGUGCCAGCAGCCGCGGUAAUACGUAAGGAGCGAGCGUUGUCCGGAUUUAUUGGGCGUAAAGAGUACGUAGGCGGUUUUGUAAGUUAGGUGUUAAAUCCACGGGCUUAACCCGUGUUCGCAUUUAAAACUGCAAGACUUGAGGACAGGAGAGGAAAGCGGAACUCACAGUGUAGCGGUGAAAUGCGUAGAUAUUGUGAGGAACACCGGUGGCGAAGGCGGCUUUCUGGACUGUAUCUGACGCUGAGGUACGAAAGCGUGGGGAGCAAACAGGAUUAGAUACCCUGGUAGUCCACGCCGUAAACGUUGAUCACUAGGUGUAGAGGGUGUCGACCCCCUCUGUGCCGUAGCUAACGCGUUAAGUGAUCCGCCUGGGGAGUACGACCGCAAGGUUAAAACUCAAAGGAAUUGACGGGGGCCCGCACAAGCAGUGGAACAUGUGGUUUAAUUCGACGAUACGCGAAGAACCUUACCCAGGCUUGACAUCCCCGGAAUCUUCUAGAGAUAGAAGAGUGCCAGCAAUGGAAUCGGGUGACAGGUGCUGCAUGGUUGUCGUCAGCUCGUGUCGUGAGAUGUUGGGUUAAGUCCCGCAACGAGCGCAACCCUUAUUGUGUGUUACCAGCACGUUAUGGUGGGGACUCACACGAUACUGCCUGUGGAAAGCAGGAGGAAGGUGGGGAUGACGUCAAAUCAUCAUGGCCCUUAUGUCUGGGGCUACACACAUGUUACAAUGGCGCAUACAAAGGGUAGCUAGAUCGCAAGAUCAUGCCAAUCUCAUAAAGUGCGCCUCAGUUCGGAUUGUAGGCUGAAACUCGCCUACAUGAAGUCGGAAUUGCUAGUAAACGCAGAUCAGCACGCUGCGUUGAAUACGUUCCCGGGCCUUGUACACACCGCCCGUCACACCAUGAAAGCUGGGAGUGCCCGAAGUCAGUGAGCUAACCUUUUUGGAGGCAGCUGCCGAAGGUAAUACUAGUGAUUGGGGUGAAGUCGUAACAAGGUAACC